CCCCGUCUCCUCAGGCCCCAUCCCCCACGGGACAAACCCUAGCCUUACAUCCCACACUACGUCCUCCUCCAUCCUCGUUAGCCGCCGCCGCUGUUGUGCCUCCCUCCUCUCUACCCUACAACCACGCCGGCGGGAGGAAGCCUCCGUUCGUGGCGCCAUACCGCUGCCGGUGUGCUGUGCACGCUUCGUUCCCCACAGCCCCUCCCUCAUCCUCGCUCGGCACCGCCGCUGCCUGCUACUCCCCUCCACCACCGUUGCUACUUGUGGGUCGAAUCUAGCAUUGGUGGGUCAGAGCUCAAGCUAGAGGCUGAGACGGGGCUGGGCGAGCGGAUUCCAGGUGCGGGUUCGCCCUCUCCCCGCGCGGCGCGUGCGCAUCACGCCGUCUACGGGAGCGUGGGGGCAGGCGUAGCCCGCACCCCUCCGCCCUACCUCCCUCCUCGAUCUCUCUCCCUGGUCAGCCGCCACCAACCCUAGCCCCCUUUCAUACGCUAACUCCUCCAUACUCUGUCUCUGUCCGUGCAGGCGGCCAUCUUCGUUCCACCCCGAGCUUCUCAUCCUCCUUCCUUGCUUCUCUACUCCCCCACGAAGGAGGAAGAUGCAAAUGGCGUCGGCUUUGGGAGAUAGCUCGCCCGGCUGCAGGGAAGGGCGACGGGACCGGCAUCCUGGGCGGUGGCGACGGUUGGACUCCAGGAGCUGCCGAGGUUGUCCUCACCAAGGAAGCGGCCGACAGCGCAAGGGAGGGCUCGUCCUUACGUGGUGCUCAACCGGCGAUUGAGAUUUGGAGGGAGACUAGGAGACCCCGGCGAAAACGAGCGUGCUAGCGGUGGCUCCGGGAAUGCAGGGUGAUAGGGCCCAGUCUAUGCUCCGGUUGUGUUGUUGGGGAAGCUUCUGGACGGGAUUUAGACAAGGAAACGGAGACCCGUGCGAAAUCGAGCAUCCUGGUGGUGCCUCGACCAAAGCGGGUCGACGGAUAGUGCCGGUGAGCACGGAGCAUGGUGCAACGAGUUGGAUAGGCGGCAAGAGAGGUGACCACGGGUGUGGCUUGGGGAGCUCCGCACACAUGAAGUGAUGAUGAGUGCAUCCGACCCCACCAUGCUGCUGUUCCUGGAGAACAAGGGGUAUAUGAACCAGAAAUGAUGUGAUAUACUUGGUUAUUUGAACAUGAAGGUCAACCACGGGGUGGCGCGGCAUGGGUGAGCUGAAAUUGUUCUACUGAUUCCUUGAUGCUUUGUUCAUUGCUUUGUUCUUAUUUUAUCGUUCUUUAUUUGCUUUGUUCUUUCCUACAAGAAGAUGCCGAGUCGUGCAAUAUGUUCAAAGAAGUGAGAAUCUGCAUUUUAUGAAUGUUUUCUUCUUUCUUCAUUGUUACCUCAAGUCAGUGAAUUCAGUUAAGUUGUACUGAGCAGCUUCAUACGCAUGGUUUCUCCAUCUACACAUCUUAUUCAGUCACGAGGCCAUUAAGAUCUUUUUGACUUUUAUAAAAAGGGUGAUGCCAAUUGGACGUCACCCUGUCCAACUUGAUCUUUAACUUGCUAUUACUGUUUGGAUCUUCACAUUCAAGGAUUUUUCAUUAAAUCGUCGGUUCACCAGUUCUUUGUUACUUGAGAUAUUGUGAUAAACUUAUAUCAUUGCUUACUAUACAUAUGUCUGGAUGAUGCCUGCAGGCUCAUUACAAGCUUCAGGUGGAUCAAAUAGUGGGCCUUCUAUAUAUAUAUUCAGCUGUAUCAUUUCUUACUAUAUAUGUCUUCCUGUAGACGAGACGAAACCAUACAUGGAUCCUUUGCCUCCUUUCUUGCUCAGACCCCAUGAUACAACCUCGGCGGUUGUCCAGCGACUAACAGCAAUAUCAUCUUUUGGAGAUAAAACAGCCGUAUGGAUGUUACAUGAGACCAUGUUGGAAGACCCUGCUGCUAUGCAAGCAAAAGGAUUCAUGAUACCCACGGUGAAAACAGAGAUAAGAUGCUACAGUUAGAGCAGCAUUGAGAAACCGAGGACACGAAAUGAGUCUGAAAAAUGCUAUGGGCUGAUUUGUUCUAGCUAGGCUAUGUGUGGUAGAAGUUGUACUCACAGGAAGACUAUCGUGCUUUGUAUAAACCACAUUCUAUGAUUCACUUCUGUUAUGCUUAUUUACAUUCCAGUGUUAGGACUGAAAUCCAUCUAUUGUAAUGAAUUUGGUUAUACUGGCAUUACCUAUUUGACUUAGGCUUGGUUCAUCACAUAUAGACUGUUUUUCUUGUAACCCGCUGCUUGUAUGACCUAAAACUGUCAUGUAUAUGAGGCAAGUUAUUAGCAAUGUUUCACAUUUUCUUA